GCUGAACCGUGCCAAUCAUCACGCGUUGUUGCAUCCCUGGAUGUUGAAAAGGGCCCACUCGAGACCCGACAAGAAGGAUCAGCCUUUGCCAGGCCAGGUACCCCCCUCCAUCAAGCCGUGGGGUUUUGUUUUCUGUCUUUCCUGCGGACAUUUCACGUCGUGAAGAUGGAUCUGAGGGAUCGAAACGGAGCGAUGCUUUGGCCAUCGUGCGCAAACUCGAUGCCAGAGCCAUCUCUGAGCAUUCGGAUUCGCCUGACAGCGUGAUCGAUGGCGGAAUAUCAACAGCCUUGGAAGUCUAAAACACACAAACUCCUUCCCACAGGGGGAUCCCGACAACUCCCCGGCUUCCCCCGGCUUCCCCCUGUUCUCCCCUGGCUCCCCCGUGACCCCCCGAGGACGGGAGAAGGAAAGAAGCUGAAUGUUCGACAGACAAUUGACGACAACAACAACAACAACCAACAACAAAAACCACCACA
rnacentral:sRNA from 2 species